AGAGUUUGAUCCUGGCUCAGAGCGAACGCUGGCGGCAGGCCUAACACAUGCAAGUCGAACGGACCCUUCGGGGUUAGUGGCGGACGGGUGAGUAACACGUGGGAACGUGCCCUUUGGUUCGGAACAACACAGGGAAACUUGUGCUAAUACCGGAUAAGCCCUUCGGGGGAAAGAUUUAUUGCCAUUGGAGCGGCCCGCGUUGGAUUAGGUAGUUGGUGAGGUAAAGGCUCACCAAGCCUGCGAUCCAUAGCUGGUCUGAGAGGAUGAUCAGCCACAUUGGGACUGAGACACGGUCCAAACUCCUACGGGAGGCAGCAGAGGGGAAUCUUGCGCAAUGGGCGAAAGCCUGACGCAGGCAUGCCGUGUGAAUGAUGAAGGGCUUAGGAUUGUAGAAUUCUUUGAGCGGGGACGAUAAUGACGGUACCCGGAGAAGAAGCCCCGGGUAACUUGUUGCCAU
rnacentral:rRNA from 1 species